rnacentral:rRNA from 1 species
UCGAGGAUCUUUGGCAAUGAGCGCAAGCUUGACCAAGCGACGCCGCGUGGACGAUGAAGGCCUUCGGGUUGUAAAGUCCUGUCGAGGGGGAUCAAGGGCAACUUGAGUGAUCCCUGGAGGAAGCACGGGCUAAGUUCGUGCCAGCAGCCGCGGUAAGACGAACCGUGCAAACGUUGUUCGGAAUCACUGGGCUUAAAGGGCGCGUAGGCGGCUGACCAAGUCCGGGUGAAAUCCUGCAGCUUAACUGUAGAAGUGCCUUGGAUACUGGUUGGCUCGAGGGAGAUAGGGGUCUGUGGAACUGCUGGUGGAGCGGUGAAAUGCGUUGAUAUCAGCAGGAACGCCGGUGGCGAAAGCGACGGACUGGAUCGUUUUCUGACGCUGAGGCGCGAAAGCUAGGGGAGCGAAACGGGAUUAGAUACCCCGGUAGUCCUAGCCCUAAACGAUGGGCACUAGGUUGUGUGCUAACAUGGGCGCACAACCGAAGCAAAAGUGUUAAG